AUACGAAAGGUGCAAGCGUUGUUCGGAUUUACUGGGCGUAAAGAGAGUGUAGGUUGUUUAUUAAGUCGGAUGUGAAAUCCCGGGGCCCAACCUCGGAACUGCAUUCGAUACUGAUAGGCUAGAGUUCGGGAGGGGUAAGCGGAAUUCCGUGUGUAGCAGUGAAAUGCGUAGAUAUACGGAGGAACACCUGAGGCGAAGGCGGCUUACUGGACCGAUACUGACACUGAGACUCGAAAGCGUGGGUAGCAAACAGGAUUAGAAACCCCAGUAGUCC
rnacentral:rRNA from 1 species